rnacentral:lncRNA from 1 species
UACAAACUUAGGUAUAAAGUUUAACAAAAAAAAGGAUAACAAAGAAAAUGUAACAUCAUGUGUUGAUAAUAUAAUGAACGAAGAAUCAUUUAGGUUGUUUUCUGAAUUUUUUAAUAAUACAGUAUCGUUGACUAAUUCGGAAGUAGGCUAUACUGAUUUGUCAGUCGGAAAGAGGGGACAUAAACGCUUGUCAAAGGUUGGGUUGGGUUUAGAACAGAUGGCUAGUCAUGAUAGCUUACCUAGGGACAACUCACCUAAGGACAACUCACCUAAGGACAACUCACCUAAGGACAGCUUACCUAAGGACAGCGUAUCCAGUGACACAAACCUAACAUAUUACCAAAACAUAACAACCACCGUGUAUAACGCAAUUAAAAAUCCAUGCUUCGUAACCAAUUCCAAUUUUAGUAAAAAAAAAGAAAUAAAAAUUAUUAAAAAAGUGUUAAAUUACUUGAAACUAGCGAAAUGUAAUAAUCGACUUAAAUUGUAUAUUUUAUUUAAACUGUUUCAGAAUAAAAAUAUAGAAAAGCAUUUUCCUUGUUUGUUUAAGUGCAUGAAUGAUAUGAGACAUGUAAGUAGUAAAACUGAAGUAGCAAAAAAUGUGAUGCAUAGUUUGGGUAUAGACAGUUACACAAUUAAGGAGGUAAGUAAUAAGGAGCAGGUAAAUCCUAACCCUAACGCGUUAGGGUUAGAAAGUGAUGACGCUAUUAUUAAUAUGACAGGAAAGGAUUCUAAAAAAAUGGAUAAUAUAUCGUUAAGAUGUGCAUCAUUAGUGCCUGAGUUACUAAAGAGUGAAGAACAAUUUAUUUCAAACGACAUGGAAGCAGAAAGUAAUGUGGAAGCAGAAAGUAAUGUGGAGGCAGAAAGUAAUGUGGAAGCAGAAAAUUUGGGUAAUGCGUACCACCACCUUUGUAAGGGCAUGUUUGGUGAAUCUAUACCAUCUUUUAUAUUAAACGACAAAGUGAAUAAUUUAACAUUGUUUAGUGAUAAAUUUGUUUACUAUGAUCAUAUAAUUAAUCAAAAAAAAAGAGAAAAUAAUAAUAACUUUUUUGAAUAUUAUAACAUGAG